GGGCAGUGUUUGCCGAAGGUGAUUUUUUUUUGAAAAAAGAUAAAUUUAUGAAGAACCUGGUGCCAUCUCAUACUUUCGAUUAGACCUGCUGAGUUAUUUAUUUUCAAUACAUUGAAAGUCAGGUAAUUUAUUUUCAAACUACCACAGAACAAACCAUUUAUUUUUGUGAUUAUCAAGGCCGAGUUAUUUAUUUUCAAAAUCCUCCU
rnacentral:lncRNA from 1 species